rnacentral:rRNA from 1 species
UGAGGAAUAUUGGUCAAUGGGCGAGAGCCUGAACCAGCCAAGUAGCGUGCAGGAUGACGGCCCUAUGGGUUGUAAACUGCUUUUAUAUGGGAAUAAAGUGAGGGACGUGUCCCUUAUUGCAUGUACCAUACGAAUAAGGACCGGCUAAUUCCGUGCCAGCAGCCGCGGUAAUACGGAAGGUCCAGGCGUUAUCCGGAUUUAUUGGGGUUAAAGGGACCGUAGGCAGUUUCUUAAGCGUGUUGUGAAAUGUAAGAGCUCAACUUUUAGAUUGCAGCGCGAAAUGGCAGACUUGAGUGCGCACAACGUAGGCGGAAUUCAUGGUGUAGCGGUGAAAUGCUUAGAUAUCAUGACGAACUCCGAUUGCGAAGGCAGCUUACGGGAGCGCAACUGACGCUAAAGCUCGAAGGUGCGGGUAUCGAACAGG